rnacentral:rRNA from 1 species
AGAGUUUGAUCAUGGCUCAGAUUGAACGUUGGCGGCAGGUUUCAUACAUGCAAGUCGAACGAGUAAUCGCCCUUCGGGGUGUGCGCUAGUGGCGGACGGGUGAGUAACGCGUAGGAAUCUACCUAGUAGUGGGGAAUAACGUCAGGAGACUGAUGCUAAUACCGCAUACUACCUAAGGGUGAAAGCGGGGGAUCUUUUGACCUCGCGCUAUUAGAGGAGCCUGCGUUAGAUUAGCUUGUUGGUGAGGUAAUGGCUCACCAAGGCGACGAUCUAUAGCUGGUCUGAGAGGAUGAUCAGCCACACUGGAACUGAGACACGGUCCAGACUUCUAAGGAAGGCAGCAGUAGAGAAUAUUGCACAAUAGGGGAAACCCAGAUGCAGGCAUGCCGCGUGUGUGAUUGAAGGCCCUUUGGGUUGUAAAGCACUUUCGAUGGUGAAGAGAGCUGGCGCGCUAAUACCGCGAUCCAGUUAGACGUUAACCAUUAAAGAAGCACCGGCUAACUUCGUGCCAGCAGCCGCGGUAUACCGGAGGGUGCAAACGUUAAUCGGAAUUACUGGGCGUAAAGCGCA